rnacentral:lncRNA from 1 species
UGGAAGGUGACGCCGAGGAGGCAUCAAGGAUGGAAGAAGUGGACUAAAGUAAAUGUAUACUCAGAUUGUUACCUAACUCCAAAGACUUUCUUGUGUUGCAAGAAGAAUAUAAGACUGUUACAUUUCUUUGUUGGACAGUUAUGUACGACUGAUUACGAGAAAGAAACUGGGACACCCGGUUAUGUGUAGGGUUUUUCUUUCUCUCUUAUUAUCUCUAUCUGAAGUUUGCGUUUAGAAGAUGUUGUGUGGUAUGUGCCAUUAUGCGAGGUCGGAAGAGAGUCUUGUGGGAAAGA